AUAGCAACAGCAGCGUAGCUGAACAUCUUACGGAUGGCCCAGGGCUCCAAAGGCUCGUUUCCUAAGUGAGAGAGAGCCUGGCUGAAGCUGUAUUACCAUUCAUUCUCCAGCCUCCGAAGUCUCAAAGCAUCACUUCCACCAUACUCUAACUGUCAAGACAAACACAAAGGCCCAGAAACUGCCAGACUGUCUUCUGAAGUGGCUAUAAUAUUUACACUCCCAUCAGCAGUGUAGAAGGGGUCUCACUAUGUUGUCUGGAGUGCUGUGGUGGAGUGGAGUGGCUAUUCACAGAGCCUGUUCUGCUGGGACACAGAAUCACUUGCUCCAUCUCAUACAUUGAUGAUGAUUAAUUUGUAUGUGUACCUUCCAAAAAAGAUGGUUGUGUUUGAAUGGAGGCCUUCUGGACAGGAAAAUAAUCACAUCCUUCCUGAGAUAAUGAGCACACAAUUGCCUGGAUACCUGAAGGAAUGGAGACAGCGGCAGAAAACACUGCAGAGAGGUGGAAACAUCCGUUAAUAUUUUAAAAUCCCAUUACUGCUACCAACAAUAAUAAUGGAUGCAUAGAAAUAGAUCUGGAUUAGCUGAGCUUGAAACAGUCCAUCUCACACACACACAAAAGAAUUUCAGGUUCUGCCCGCUUGGAUGGCUUCCCUA
rnacentral:lncRNA from 10 species